GACAGAGGGUGCAAACGUUGUUCGGAAUGACUGGGCGUAAAGCGCGUGUAGGCGGCUCGGCAAGUCGGAUGUGAAAGCCCUGGGCUCAACCCAGGAAGUGCACUCGAAACUGCCGAGCUGGAGUCCCGGAGAGGAAGGCGGAAGUUCUCGGUGUAGAGGUGAAAUUCGUAGAUAUCGAGAGGAACACCGGUGGCGAAGGCGGCCUUACUGGGACGGCGACUGACGCUGAGACGGCGAAAGCGUGGGGAGCAACAGGG
rnacentral:rRNA from 1 species